rnacentral:rRNA from 1 species
UACGUAGGUGGCGAGCGUUGUCCGGAAUUACUGGGCGUAAAGCGUGCGUAGGCGGUUAUUUAAGUCUGUUGUGAAAUCCCCGGGCUCAACCUGGGAAUGGCAAUGGAUACUGGAUAGCUAGAGUGUGAUAGAGGAUGGUGGAAUUCCCGGUGUAGCGGUGAAAUGCGUAGAGAUCGGGAGGAACAUCAGUGGCGAAGGCGGCCAUCUGGAUCAACACUGACGCUGAGGCACGAAAGCGUGGGGAGCAAACAGG